GGCUGGUCCGAAGUUAGUGAGUUAUCUCAAUUGAUUGUUCACAGUCAGUUACGGAUCAAACUCCUUGUUCUACUCUUUCCCCCCUUCUUACUACUGCACUUGACCAGUCUUAA
rnacentral:Y_RNA from 1 species